AGCGUUCUUGUAUAGGAGGAAAACACAAGAAUUGUGCUUGAGCUGAGUUGAGAAGUCUUGAAAGGAGGAUAUCCAGAUUUAAGAUGAGCCAGAAUCCUCUGAUUUGUGCCAAGACUAGACAAGGGUUUCCAUUUUACCUGCAACAGAUAUGCUAUGGUUGAAUUUUCCUAAGGGAUGGCUUUCUGAGAGGUGGCACGAGAAGGACACAGGAGGAGAUGAAGGUGAUAUGUGAAUAAAAUCUAUUGAAGUUUCCAAAACAGAAUAUCUGAAAUGUCCCUUUUUCUUAACCUCUCCUAGGAAGACAUCGAGUCCUUGAUUUACCGGGUAAUAAGUAUAUGACCUUGGGAUCAAUGCAAUUU